GCUAGACGUUGUUGAAAACAGAGUCUCACUAGAUUGGCACUUACACUGGUAUGAUUUAAUUGUCUUCAGUGCAAUUACUGGGUAUCCUUAAGAGGUAUAUAUGCACUCUAUAGCAUUUUGUUACACACAAACCCAAUGUAUAUAUUGCAUGUAUAUAUUUCAGAAUCAGGUAUCAUAUUUAGCUUUUCUUGGGCGCUACAGUCAAGGUUGUGUUGCUAGUAUGAAGCCACACAAAUUUAUGGAAAAAGUCCAUGCAAGACGGCAACUUCUGACACAUUAGAAACAACUCAUAUUUGUUUAUCUUUUUGCCUGAGAGUGAUCAAAAUGAACUCCAUAUUGUUCUGUUGCCAAUAAACAUGAAAGAAUGAAAUAAUAUACAGGAAGGACAUCUUGAGAAGCAGGACCUUUCCCAAAAUAGAGAUCUUUCAUCAGGGCAGUUAGUGUUCCAGGUAGGAGGUUGAGGUGGCAGCUGAGGAUACGAAUUUGCAUUUAAAUAUGCAUAUGCAAAUUUAUUUGCACAGCUGCGACUUUAUAAGUAAUUAAUAUAAUUUAAACAGAAGUGCAGCAUUUCUCAGACUAGUGGAAAAACUGUAACAAGUUGAUCUGUUGGCUCAGUCUGUUGUCGUCAUGUGCUAAGCCAACUUUGGAUGGGCAACAUCAAAGCUUGCUUUUCCUUCUUAAGGUUCUGCAUCUUUAAACUGGACAGCCCUGCAUACAGAGGACUCCUUCAGAUGGAGAACUGGCUUCUGUAAAGUUGGACACAUGGCCACCCAGCUGAGGUAUUUCUAAGUAAUUCCUGACUAUCCAAGAGAGUGGUGCAAGGAUAUCCCAUAUUGUUUUGGAAUUCCGUAAACAGAAAGUGGGAUGCUGUCCUGAGACUGGGAAGAAGCAUAAGAACUAGUUAUUUUCUGGGGGUGAAACACUAGCAAUCACAUUUUGUUAUGUGUGGAAAGGGCAGACAGAUAGUGUCCAUGUCUUGUUAGGUGUUUCUGCAGUCUUACAAAAGGUCACUUUCCCAGCAUCCCUGUUUCUCACUGGCUGAGAAAUGCUUUCUCUAUUUAAAAAUACAGUCCUUCAUCUACUCAGUUGUUUAUUUCUGCUUCCUUGCAACCAAUAAUUAAUAGAUUAUUAGGCAAGAAGUAGUUUCCACUCUCAGUCUCUUUAGUUCAGUUUGAAAUAUUCUGGCAUGCUAAGUGAAUCCUAGUGAUCUGGCAAUGGGUCUGGGUUCUCCUUACUUCCUCUAAUAAGAUUGGUGAGCCAGGAAAAUAUGAUGCAUUUUCUUUCCUCCUGCUGGUCUUCAGAGAUUUCUCUCUCUUCCACUACAGUCAUUCAAAUAUUGCAUUUGUGUGCAUUUUUAAGAAUGAUCUGUACUGCUUAACUUCCUGCCUGACUAAAGGGUCCAUCACCUCCUCCCCACUUUAUGUGGCCAGAAGGUCAUGAAGAGGUUGUUGACUAACACACUUUCUUCCAUUAAUCCUCUUUAUUUCCAUUUGAAACCAUCUAAGUCCAUACUGGAUUUCUUUUAUUUUCAGUUGACUAGCUUUAUUUUGGACAUAUCUGUUUCCAUUUCCUUCUCUGACUUUUUUUUUUUUGAAUAUGCAAAAACAGAUGCCCCAAUAUUUUUAUUGAAACUAGAUCAGUAGCAUGAAAACAUUAUACAAAAGGCAACUUUUUACAAAAUAGUAGGUUUUCUCAUUCAGGGUGUGUAUGUUUAAUUAACGGGGGAAAGGCAAUUUCCCAAAGUUACAUAGUAUACCUAAAAAAAAACAAGGCCAAUAUGGCGUAGUGGUAAGAAUGUUGGCGAGACCAUCUCUACCAUUAAGCAGCUGAUUUUGGGUGUCACCAAAGUUAAGCAAACGGUCAGUUAUUUAAUUCAUUACCAUUGCAUUUUUACUGCCAAGGAUAGGCGGAGGAGCUAGAGAGACUUGCUAUUGUGCCUCAGGCAGCAAAAUAUCUUGGGUUAGCCCUGAAUGUUGGAUCAGAGAAACAUGGGUUGAAAUUCCCACUCAACCAUGAAUCUUACACAGUGUUCCAAGCCCAGUUACUACCUUUCAGCAAAUACCACAUCCGAGAGAGAGAGAGAGAGAGAGAGGGAAAGAAUAAAAUGGGAUAACCACGUGAAUGCCAUGGUGAGCUCAUUGGAUGGAGGGUGAGAUAAUAAUAUGAUUAUCCUUGAAAAUACACUGCAAUAUGUUACAGUGUUUGUGUCCCAUUAAACAAAUGCUUCUGUUCAAUGCUCCAGCCAGCCUGAAACAGGAAUCCUGUAUUCAAACCUCUCAGGGUGGAGGAGACAAGAAGAAGGUGAGAAAGAAGAUUUCCUCCGUCCCUCCCUCCCCUGGUACCUUCCUCUACUGCGACAGAGGCCUUGGGCCUGAGAUUGACUGCCGGGCUGCCAAAAUCUUAGCAAUUUAUUACUAUGGAAGGUUGGUGGUGGUGGUUCUACAUAAAUGGAAAGGGGAAAGGGGUGCUUUUUCCUUUCCUUCCUCCUGAAUGGUGCAGGGAAAGGAGUUUGUUAACCUCACAACAUGAAUUCAUCCUCCCACCCCUAAUGAGCCCCAUCCAGGAUGCUUAUUAUGGGCUGCUAGUGGCUUUAGUAAGCCAAUUUGCUCUCUUGGCCUGCCUUUCAUUCUUGCCUCCUUUUCUCUUUCUCAACGGAUACCCUAACACAUAACACACACACCCCAACAUUCCUGGGACCAAAGUCAGGAUGCUCCUAUUUUGGUCCUGAACUCUUGCACUUGCGUAAGAGCACAAGACCCAAAGACGCUUUUUUCUUGGUCUCGCAAGACCAAAAACCGAGCAGCUUUUGUUCUGGUGUGACCCAGAUGACUCAUGCCAGAGUGAGCAUCUUUUGGGCCGGCGUCUCGUGCCAGAACACAGAACCAAAACAGAACAUUCUAGGAUCCAAUCAGAAGCCAGGAUUGCCAUCUGUGAUUCCAGGAUGCCCUGCUUAAAACGGAGCAGUUGAGGAGUAUGCUAACAUUCUCUGUUUCAACUGCUGUCAACCAUAGACAUAUGCUAAUCUCACAGAAUCGGCCCAACUUCUGGUUCCCUUAAAUUGCUUUUUUUUUCCCUUUCCAGGACAGAAAUUAAAACCAUCCAUGUGAAAUAAUAUCAGAAUCUGGGGUUUUAAAACAGCUGUGAUUGGACAGCAGCAGUCCCACCAACAAAGCAAGAAGCAAGAACAGGAGUUGUUGUUUUUGUCAAUGGUCGGGGUGAGGCAGGACAUUCUCUCUCCAGACAAUGGUGUGAGUUACUUUAACAUUUCCUGAACAUGUUAGAGACUCAACAGUCAUGAACGUUCUGUAAAACCUUGAAGCUCAUAGAUCCUUAAAAAAAAAAAAAUCUAUAGUUUUAUUAUAGAUACAUGUAAAGAUGAACAUUUAAUGCUAUGGAGGGGAGGGGAAUUGGACCAAAUGCACAAUGAAAUCAAACAAAACAACAAACAAACAAAGAUACCCCAUCAUCCCCGAUCAUUGGUCAUGUGUGGAAUGAUGGGAGUUGUAGUCCUACAAUAUCUGGAAAGUGCCUCAUUGACUACCCCUGACCAAGGGCAUAGGGGUAUAGCUGAAAAGGGGGUGGGGGUAGGUAGUGGG